UACAGAGGCCUCGAGCGUUAGGCGGAAUCACUGGGCUUAAAGCGUGUGUAGGCGGACUUCUAAGUACCUUGUGAAAUCCCACGGCUCACCCGUGGAACUGCUCGGUAUACUGGUCGUCUUGAGCCUUCUAGGGGCGAGUGGAACAAAUGGUGGAGCGGUGAAAUGCGUAGAUAUCAUUUGGAACGCCAAUGGUGAAAAACAACUCGCUGGGGGUGUGCUGACGCUGGAGACACGAAAGCCAGGGGAGCGAACGGG
rnacentral:rRNA from 1 species